AUUGAACGCUGGCGGCGUGCCUAACACAUGCAAGUCGAGCGGUAACAGGUGUAGCAAUACAUGCUGACGAGCGGCGAACGGGUGAGUAAUGCUUCGGAAUCUACCUUAUGGUGGGGAAUAACUAGCCGAAAGGUUAGCUAAUACCGCAUACGUCCUACGGGAGAAAGCAGGGGAUCGUAAGACCUUGCGCCAAAAGAUGAGCCGAAGUCGGAUUAGCUAGUUGGUAGGGUAACGGCCACCAAGGCGACGAUCCGUAGCUGGUCUGAGAGGACGACCAGCCACACUGGGACUGAGACACGGCCCAGACUCCUACGGGAGGCAGCAGUGGGGAAUAUUGGACAAUGGGGGAAACCCUGAUCCAGCGACGCCGCGUGUGUGAAGAAGGCCUGCGGGUUGUAAAGCACUUUAGUGGGGAUGAAAUGUGCAGGGUUAACACCUCUGCAUUUUGACCUAACCCACAGAAAAGCACCGGCUAACUCUGUGCCAGCAGCCG
rnacentral:rRNA from 1 species